UCCUGUCCCGCUCCUGCAAGGAGGAGGCUCAGAGGCACGGCCAGACCUGUCUAGGGGCCCCAGCUUUUGUCCAAGUUGGGAUCCCACACCUCAUUGUAGGGGUGUAACUCAGUUCCUUCUGCAGGAUUCCUUCACCCAGGCUCUUGGCUCCCGGGGAAGGGCUGGGGCUCCCUGCUCACACAGGGCUCUCUGGCGUCCCUGAGGACGUAAGAAUCACAUGUCCCUUCUACUCACAACUCCAUCCUGGCAGCCCAGGCCUCAUGAAUGCAUUUGAGGGGUGCCUGUCCCCCUGAUUUCCCAGUGAAGGAAAAACAGCCACACUAACCAUGCUGACAUGUCAGAAAGUUACAUCUGGCCAGUUCUGUCUGCUCCACUUGACUGCGUGUUUGCAGUGAGUUCCUGAGUUACCGGGAUGAAUGGUCAGAAAGCAGUGUGCCCACCAAUGGAUGUUUCCUGCCAUUGGGCCCCUUAGCAGUGACUUGUGUGCAAACCAGGGUGAUUUUUACAACUUUUAAACAAGUUUAUAGCAACUUUGUUGGCUUUCAAAGCUGUUUGCUUUGAAAAUAUUAAAUUCAUUUUCAGCAAGUGAGUCAUUCAACAGACACACUUUGUGAACAUCUGUGUGUGCAGCCCGUGCUUGAAGACCAGGGUUCUGGCCAGGUCAGAACAGGACAACAGAAUGAAAUUGUAACGGAAAUGGCGAGAAAAGAAAAUAAAAAUGCAUAGCUUGGCCUAGU